rnacentral:misc_RNA from 1 species
CCUGUUUUUGAGAAUAAUUUAUAAAAACAUAAAAGAAAAACGGGAUUAAAAUUAAAUACAGUGAAAGUAAUAUAUGAAGGACUAUUAGUUGUGAGUUUAAAUCAGUACCGAACUGAUUUGAGUGUGUUUGUACGGUCAGAAUAAGUGAUUUAGUUUUGUAAAUAACCUAAAACAAACGUUUAAUGCAGAUAUUUUUAAUUAUUCACGAUAUUUUUACAUUGUGCAGUGACGUUAUCACGGUACCCAGUGAUUGUUUGGUUUUCACUCUGAUUAUUAUUGUUUCAGUCUAGGUAUAUUAUUGAGUAGGUAACGUGUAGUUACUGCUUAGCGGAAACGGAUCUGCGCUGAUUACGGAUUGGGAUAGGGCGGCGGCGCGCAGGCGAUGUGGCGCAGCACGUGAUGUUGGAGCCCACUGCGUCCGCGCACGCCGCCAUGAUCAAGCUGCGCCGGGACAGGAUUUGGCGCUGGCGCUGCCAGUGGAGCGUGGUGACGCUGGCGGCCGUGGGGCUGGUGCUGUACAACGGCGCGGCCAAUGUGCUGCUGUUGCGAUCGCCGCGCUGCCGCGAGCGCGCACCAGCGCCCGCGUCUCUCACGCCUGUGCCCGCCACCACCUGCGAGCCCUGCGCCGACACGCCGCCGCCUUCUGCACAGCUCGACGACGAACCGCUUUCACGAUUCGACCUGCGCCUCGGCCGCUGGGACACCUCGCGCAACUACCGCCUCUACGACUACGCCGCCGUCGGUGACUCGUACGCGGACCUCUCCGCCGAGCGGCGCGUCAGCCUCGCCACGCAGUCGUCCGUGGAGCGGUUGCACGAGCUGCUGCGCAUCGCGGCACACUGGUCCGGCCCGAUGUCGGUGGCGGUGUUCGUGACGGGAGACGAGCUGAGGCUGCUGUGCGGGUUCGCGACGUGGCUGCUGCACUGCCAGCCGGAGGUGUACGCGCGGCUGGCGCUGCACGUGGCCACGCCAGCGGAGCGGCAGGGAGUGCACGGCCGGCUGCCGCACUGGGCCAAGGACUGCUCGUCGCAGCCGCUGCCGGCGGGCGAGCGCUCACCGGAGACCAUCCAGUGGCGCUCGCGGCAUCCCUACCCCCAGAACCACAUGCGGAAUCUCGCGAGGAAGAACUGCCACACGCCGUUUGUGUUUCUGGUGGACAUCGACAUAGUGCCUUCGAAAGGCAUGGCGGAGGCUCUGGACGUGUUCCUAGGCCGGACGCCGAAGUGUCCGCUGUGCGCGUACGUGGUGCCCACGUACGAGCUGGACCGGCGCGUGGCCACCUUCCCGGCCAACAAGUCGGAGGUGCUGCGGCUCUCGCGGCACAAGCUCGCCAUACCCUUCCACAGAAAGGUGUUCAUAUACAAUCAGUUCGCUUCCAAUUUUUCAAGAUGGGAGGCCAGCGGCGGCAACGAGAGCGCGGAGACCCACGUGAGCCACAACGUGACCAACUUCGAGCUGCUGUACGAGCCGUUCUAUGUAGCAGCUGACACUGUGCCGGCGCACGACGAGCGCUUCCUCGGCUACGGGUUCACCAGGAACACGCAGGUCGUGACAUUGGGCUCGGGCGUGAGAAAUUUCCGAUUGCGGUCGCGUUGGGUAAUUUUGCAAAAAAUUGGGACGUUCGGUGUCGCGGAGUGGCUGAAAGAUCUCGGCCUGCAGUGACCCGGUGAAUUAAUUGCUGACAACACCACUGCGAUGGCUCGGUGGCCGCACCUGCUUUUAUACCUCUGCCUGAUAUCCGCCGUGGAUCUCCAAGAGGCAGUAGAUGAAGAUGCACAGAAUGAGGUUGAUGAGGAGGUGACAAGGAUGGAGGACUCUCCCCCGACGGAUGAGGAACUACAGGAGUUGGAGCGGACGUGUCCGGAGCUGAGCGGGCAGAUCAUCGG